AACGAGCGCUGGCGGCAUGCCUAACACAUGCAAGUCGAACGAGAUCUUCGGGUCUAGUGGCGCACGGGUGCGUAACGCGUGGGAAUCUGCCCUUUGGUUCGGAAUAACAGUUGGAAACGACUGCUAAUACCGGAUGAUGACGAAAGUCCAAAGAUUUAUCGCCAGAGGAUGAGCCCGCGUAGGAUUAGCUAGUUGGUGUGGUAAAGGCGCACCAAGGCGACGAUCCUUGGCUGGUCUGAGAGGAUGAUCGGCCACACUGGGACUGAGACACGGCCAAGACUCCUACGGGUGGCAGCAGUGGGGAAUAUUGGACAAUGGGAGAAAGCCUGAUCCAACAAUGCCGCGUGAGUGAUGAAGGCCUUAGGGUUGUAAAGCUCUUUUACCCGGGAUGAUAAUGACAGUACCGGGAGAAUAAGCUCCGGCUAACUCCGUGCCAGCCGCCGCCGUAA
rnacentral:rRNA from 1 species